rnacentral:rRNA from 1 species
UACGAAGGGGGCUAGCGUUGCUCGGAAUCACUGGGCGUAAAGCGCACGUAGGCGGGCUCUUAAGUCAGGGGUGAAAUCCUGGAGCUCAACUCCAGAACUGCCUUUGAUACUGGGAAUCUCGAGUCCGGGAGAGGUGAGUGGAACUGCGAGUGUAGAGGUGAAAUUCGUAGAUAUUCGCAAGAACACCAGUGGCGAAGGCGGCUCGCUGGCCCGGUACUGACGCUGAGGUGCGAAAGCCAGGGGAGCAAACGGG